UACGUAGGUGGCAAGCGUUGUCCGGAUUUACUGGGCGUAAAGAGCGCGCAGGCGGUCGGAUAAGUCGAAUGUGAAAGCCCCCGGCUCAACUGGGGAGGGGCAUUCGAUACUGUUCGACUCGAAGGCAGGAGAGGGAAGUGGAAUUCCCGGUGUAGUGGUGAUAUGCGUAGAUAUCGGGAGGAACACCAGUGGCGAAGGCGGCUCUCUGGGCCCUACCUGACGCUGAGACGCGAAAGCGUGGGGAGCGAACCGG
rnacentral:rRNA from 1 species